GACGAACGCUGGCGGCGUGCUUAACACAUGCAAGUCGAACGGUGAAGCACCUUCCUUUUGGUGGGUGUGGAUGAGUGGCGAACGGGUGAGUAACACGUGAGUAACCUGCCCCCUUCUUCUGGAUAACCGCAUGAAAGUGUGGCUAAUACGGGAUAUUCUGCGCCUGCUGCAUGGUGGGUGUGGGAAAGAUAUUGUUUCGGUGGGGGAUGGGCUCGCGGCCUAUCAGCUUGUUGGUGGGGUGAUGGCCUACCAAGGCGGUGACGGGUAGCCGGCCUGAGAGGGUGGACGGUCACACUGGGACUGAGACACGGCCCAGACUCCUACGGGAGGCAGCAGUGGGGAAUAUUGCACAAUGGGCGCAAGCUGAUGCAGCGACGCCGCGUGAGGGAUGGAGGCCUUCGGGUUGUAAACCUCUUUCGCCAGUGAAGCAGGCCUGUCCCUUGUGGGUGGGUUGACGGUAGCUGGAUAAGAAGCGCCGGCUAACUACGUGCCAGCAGCCGCCGUAAAAC
rnacentral:rRNA from 1 species